GGGGGGGGGGGGGGGGGGGGGGGGGGGGGGGGGGGGGGGGGGGGAGGUGAGGGGGUUGGUCCGGUGGGGUUGGGGGCGGGGGGGUGAGUACAAGGUGGAUAACCUACCUAGAGGAGUUGGAUAACUUGAGGUACCCGGCGGUAUGACCGGACAGUGUAUUGAUCCUGAUGGUUAGAUAGUGAAAGACGGUUGUGCUGUCAAUUAUGUCUUGAUCCGAGCCGCAUUAGCUAGUUGUUUAGGUAACUGCUUACCAAGGCAACUAUGCGUAGCAGACCUGAGAGGGUGAUCGGCCACACUGGAACUGAUACACCGUCCAGACUCCUACCGGAGGCAUCAGUAGGGCAUCUUCCGCAAUGGGAGAAAGCCUUACGGAGCAACGCCGCGUGAGUUAUGAAGGUCUUCGGAUCGUAAAACUCUGUUAUGAGGGAAGAACAAAUGUGUAAGUAACUAUGCACGUCUUGACGGUACCUAAUCAGAAAGCCACGGCUAACUACGUG
rnacentral:rRNA from 1 species